rnacentral:rRNA from 1 species
UACGGAGGGGGCUAGCGUUGUUCGGAAUUACUGGGCGUAAAGCGCACGUAGGCGGCUUUGUAAGUUAGAGGUGAAAGCCCGGAGCUCAACUCCGGAACUGCCUUUAAGACUGCAUCGCUUGAACGUCGGAGAGGUAAGUGGAAUUCCGAGUGUAGAGGUGAAAUUCGUAGAUAUUCGGAAGAACACCAGUGGCGAAGGCGGAUCUCUGGGCCUUACCUGACGCUGAGGCGCGAAAGCUAGGGGAGCGAACGGG